rnacentral:rRNA from 1 species
UAUCCCUACGGGAGGCAGCAGUGAGGAAUAUUGGUCAAUGGGAGGAAUCCUGAACCAGCCAUGCCGCGUGCAGGACGACGGCUGUACGAGUUGUAAACUUCUUUUAUAAAGGAAUAAAACGAGGCACGUGUGCCUUUUUGCAUGUACUUUAUGAAUAAGCAUCGGCUAACUCCGUGCCAGCAGCCGCGGUAAUACGGAGGAUGCGAGCGUUAUCCGGAUUUAUUGGGUUUAAAGGGUGCGUAGGCGGUUUGUCAAGUCAGCGGUAAAAAUUCCGGGCUCAACCCGGUCCCGCCGUUGAACCUGGG